ensembl:lncRNA
GUCACACACAGACAUGCUUCCCCCAUUCUCUGAUAACACCAUAUCAAAUCACUAACAAACACGUCUCCAGUCUUCAAAAUAAUUUAGUUAUUAGAAAAGUGAUUGGACAAACCGGUAAAGAUUUUUUUUUUCCCACCAACAAAAAGCAAAUCAGAACAGAGUUAGUCUUUUUCUCCAGUUUACCCAGCCUUCAGAGCUCCAACUGCAGUCCCAUCAUAAUCAUUUUAGACUCCAAAGCAGUGACAGCAUUGGAUGCAUAAUUUUCAACACAUGUUUUAUUAAUCCAUUCUUCCUGUGCUUCAUUUAAAAUACUGGAAACUAUAAAAAGAUAAGCGUGUUACUCCUCUGCCAGGAAAAAGGGAAGAAAAAAAAAAAAAACUAACCAGAAAAUAUGAAAAAAAAAAAAAGAAAGAAAGAAAGAAACCAAAAAACCAGAGCAACUGGAAUCUCGGUCUUGAGGAAACACAUGGGAUUGAAGCAUCCGCUGGAGCUCUGUCACCGACUGUCAUCUGUGACUCUGGCGCUGAAGCCUCCAGGCCGGAGCGAGGAGGCUGUGCGUGCAAGCCGGGCUCCAUAGUCCACUGGUGAAAUUCUUCCAAAAGCUUGUUGGAACAAAUCCCGAACAGCGUCCGUCCACGGUGACUUAGAGAUGACCUCCACUCAGAGUUUUACGUCGGUCGUACCGAGCUCGCCUCUUCCUUGGGCCCACGUGUGGGCAGGUUAUCAUUUCAGUAAUAAAACAACGUACCUAUUGAGUGCUGCUGCUGCUGCUAAGUCACUUCAGUUGCGUCUGACUCUGCGACCGCAGAGACAGCAGCCCACCAGGCUCCCCUGUCCCUGGAAUUCUCCAGGCAAGAACACUGGAGUGGGUUUCCAUUUCCUUCUCCAAUGCAUGAAAGUGAAAAGUGAAAGUGAA